GACGAACGCUGGCGGCGUGCUUAACACAUGCAAGUCGAACGGAAAGGCCCUGCUUUUGUGGGGUGCUCGAGUGGCGAACGGGUGAGUAACACGUGAGUAACCUGCCCUUGACUUUGGGAUAACUCCAGGAAACUGGGGCUAAUACCGGAUAGGAGCUCCUGCUGCAUGGUGGGGGUUGGAAAGAUUCGGCGGUUGGGGAUGGUCUCGCGGCUUAUCAGCUUGUUGGGGAGGUAGUUGCUUACCAAGGCUUUGACGGGUAGCCGGCCUGGGAGGGUGACCGGCGACAAUGGGCCUGAGAGACGGACCAGACUGCUACGUGCGGCAGCAGUGGGGAAUAUUGCACAAUGGGCGGAAGCCUGAUGCAGCAACGCCGGGUGCGGGAUGACGUCCUUCGGGUUGUAAACAGAUUUCGCCUGUGACGAAGCGUGAGUGACGGUAAUGGGUAAAGAAGCACCGGCUAACUACGUG
rnacentral:rRNA from 1 species